UACGUAGGGGGCAAGCGUUGUCCGGAAUCAUUGGGCGUAAAGAGCGUGUAGGCGGCCACUUAAGUCCUGCGUGAAAUCUUGCGGCUCAACCGCAAGCGGUCGUGGGAAACUGGGUGGCUAGAGUGCGGGAGAGGAGAGUGGAAUUCCUGGUGUAGCGGUGGAAUGCGCAGAUAUCAGGAAGAACACCCGUGGCGGAGGCGGCUCUCUGGAACGCAACUGACGCUGAGACGCGAAAGCGUGGGGAGCAAACAGG
rnacentral:rRNA from 1 species